rnacentral:lncRNA from 10 species
GUCCCUCAUAGACCUCAAGAGCCAGAAGAGAGGCUGACCAGCUGGGCUGGGGAGUGCCUGGAUAGAGAAAGCAGGGAGAGAAAGGACCCUGGGGAAGAGGAAGCUCGGGAGGGACAGAGGGAGGGAGGGAGGGAAGAGGUACUAAGAGACGAAAGAUCCCUCAGGCCUCCCCACCCCCACCUCACUUUUUGCAGACAAUAAUCCCCUUCUGCCCCUUCUGUCCUGAGAUGAGGCAACCCCUCCCCCAACUCCACCCACAGCAUCCUUUCAAGUUCAUCAGCACCAUCUAUCACCACAGCCAAAAAGGUCUCAGUGCCUAUUCCUGCUCCCUGAGCCCUGACCCAGCCCUGGCUUUCCAGCCAGCUGCAAGUGAGAAAAACUUACUCUUCUCUUCAAGAGCAUUAUAAAAACUGAGAAUGCAACUUUCUCCUGAGUAAUGAGAACUGUCUCUUUAUGUCUAGCCCUUUCGUCCACCCCACCGUCUCGUGCUUUGCCUCUCCAGAUCCUCCAGCCAAGAUCCAUCUUCAGAUCAGGCAUCCAAGUCAGAUGGAGGAGGCCAGGCCUUGGCUGUGUAAUCCAGGAGCUCCAAUCUCAGCUGUUUGCUCCCCUCUUGGGAAAGAUAUAUUUGUGUCUAUGAAGACCCCAAGUGCUACCCACGAGGGCAGAACAGAUCCAAGGAAGGGGCAUGUUCCACAGGAGGUAUCAGCCUUAUGAACUACAGUAUCAUCACAUUUAUAAACAGAAACCAGGAAAUCAUGUCCAGGGACCAGCGUACUCAUGUGCAUGUGUUCCAGAAAUUCAAGUGUGAGGGGGGACCAUCUUUCCAAGGAUGGACUCCAUUCAAGUCCUUCAUUCUUACCCCCAACAAAUCCACUGAGAAUAAUUCCAUCUGGAGAGAGAGAGAGAGCUAAGCACAGGAGUCCCUUUCUUCUUUCCAACCAACCAGGACCUCGAGGGAUGCCUGUUCUCUGCCAUCCCCCACCUGAGUUUGGGGACCUCAGACAGGGGCCUGAGCUGGUAUGAGCUUUGGCAUAAGUCACAGAGAUUUAAUACCAUAUAUCCAGCGUCUGGUCUUUCAGAAUGACAUUUUCAUUAGAGUGGAAAUAUGCCACCUAAACAAACAAAAAAGUAUUUCUCAGCUUCCCCUGAAGAUGGCAGUGACCAGUGAAAUAUAAGGGGAAGUCACUGGGUGGGGAUUUUGGAAAGGAUUUGUAAAGGGAGGUUUCUCAGCUGAUAGAUACCCUUUUGCCUUCCCCAAUUUCUCCUACUUUCUAUCUAGAACGUCAACAUGAUGGCUGGAAUUCUAGUGGCCAUCUUAAGUCAUGGGGUGACCUUGAGAAACAGAAAGACACAUGGCGGCUGGGACAUGGAUGGUACCAAGGAGCCCUCUUGACAGGCCUGGAUUGCCAACCCAGACUUCUUUUACAUGAGAGAAGAGCAAACUUGAAUUAUAUUGGCCAGUAGCCUACUCAAUAUUUGGCCUUUCUGUCCUGCAACUGAACCUAAUACUAACAGAUACAGCAGGUCUCCAAAAACAGAAAGUACUGAGGCCCCUGGUGCUCAGAGAUCCCUGGAAAGAGUGACUGAGCUGAGAUAACCCACAGCCCCACCUUGAAUCCAAGACCCUCCAUUGGAAGCCAGGGCCUGCCUGUCAUUGUCUUCCAGGAAAGCUGUCUCAGUCACUUCCCCGGGCCUCAGUCUUUCUCAACACAAAUAUCACCAUCUCCAUAACACCCCUCUCCCAAAAUAAUGCUUGUAGCUCCCCACCUCCCUCCCUCGUGAAAUCUGAAGCCUGAUGAAGCCUCCCUAGACAGUUUGUGCAAAGAAUGGCACAAGCAUGAAUGAUGAUUUCAUCAAGAGUCUGCAGGGCACAAGGCUGUGCCAGUCCUUUUCUGGAAGGUCAGGGAUAGGAAGACAGGUUAAGGAAAUGCCAGAGGCUCUGAGUCUGACUGAGCCAGGGAAGGAGAACCAGGAUCAGUCCAUAAACAAGCAGGAAGUAGCCCCUUUUGUUUUGGCUUAGGCCUGCACCAGGGAAGCUGAGUCACUUAGGGGUAGGGAAUGGAGGCAGGGAGAGGGCAGAGCCCCCAGACUCGUGGUUAGGACCCCUAAGUGCAAAAUCCCAGUUCUGGCUCCAACUUGCCCAGAAAAUGAGGGUUUUUGGCUAGGUGAGCUAUGAAGCCACUUUCACCCCACGAGUCUGGCGCCAUGGUCCCUAGUUUAUGGAGCUUGUUAUCCGGUACACAGACCCCGUCUCACUCACUGUUCUCCACACCCUCUUCGGUGUUCCCCAAACCUCUAAAUGAGCCCUUGUGUCCACACUUUAACAUAAGCUGGACCCUCCGCCUGGAUUCCUGCCCCUCCAGCACAACUCAUUCCCUCUCCCCUUAUGAAGGUCUCUGUCUAAAUGUUACCCUCUCAAAGACACCUUUCCUGGUCACCCUGUCGUAGGUGGCACCUGGAUCACUCAUCCUAAUUGGUUUUCUUCACUUAAUAUUUGCUUGUUUGUUGGUUUGGAUACGGUGUUUCUCUCUGAUAUGGUUUGGAUCUGUGUCCCCAUCAAAUUUCAUGUUGAAUUGUAAUCCCCAGUGUUGGAGGUGGGGCCUGGUGGGAAGUGAUUGGAUCGUGAGGGCAGAGUUCUCGUUAACAGUUUAGCGCCAUCUCCUUGGUGCUGUCCUGGGGAUAGUGAGUGAGUUCCUCUGAAGUCUGGUUGUUUAAAAGGUGUGUAGCACCUCCCUGCUCUCUCUUGCUCCUGCUCCCGCCAUGUGAGAUACCUGCUCUUCAUUCACCUUCCCCCAUGAUUGCAAGGUUCCUUGGGCCUCCCCAGAAACCAAGCAGAUUCCGGCACCAUGCUUCCUGUACAGCCUGCAGAACUGUGAGCCAAUUAAACCUCUUCUCCUUAUAAAUUACCCAGCCUCAGGUAUUCUUUUAUAGCAAUGCAAGAAUGGCCUAAUACCCUCUCCCAUGAGAAUAUUAACUCCAUGAAGACAGAGAUUUUGUCUGUUUUGGUGCAUUGCUGAAUCCUCAGCAUGUAAAAUAGCACAUAGUAGACAUUUUAAUAAAUAGUUAACUGACAAACAGAAUGAGUGACUACACGUGCAAGUGUAUCUACAUUUUUUCAUCCACAUGCGUAUACAUAUAUACAUACUUCCAUGCACGCAUCCCACACCUACACACACACACACAC